rnacentral:lncRNA from 1 species
GCCUUCUCCAGAGCGGAUCUCCAGACUAGUGUCGGCGGCUAGGAAGGCUAGGGCCCCCGGGCCAGUGGACGUCUUAGUUCUGGCGUCCCUGCAGGGACAAAUGAUUUCUGUCAUUGACCUCCACCCCUGGGCUCGUUUUCACACUAGAUCCUUGCAAUGGUUCUUGCUCCCCUUCGCUCAUGAAAUAGAACACAGUACACAUAGUAUGGUAAUUCUCCUUUUCUCAGUCAGGGAGUCCCUUUGAUGGUGGGCAUCUCCAAGGAAACUUCAGGCAGGUUGCCCCAUCGAUAGUCCUCCCCAUGUCUGCAUUACCACAGAUGCCUCGCUUUGAGGUUGGGGAGGUCGUUGUCUAGGCAGCAUGGCUCAAGGGCAGUGGUCCGAGGCUGAGAGGGGUCAUUCUAUCAACUGGCUCAAGUUGAAGGCUAUUUUUUUGUCUCUCAUGGCCUUCCAGGACUUGGUCCAAUUCCAACAUGUCCUUAUUAAGACCGACAACGCUACAGCCAAGGCUCAUAUCUCCAGGCAGGGAGGGACCCAUUCUCGUUCCCUACAAUCCCUGGCCUCUUCCAUUUUUGUUUGGGCAGAGUGUCGCGUUUUGUCCCUCUUGGCUAUUCACAUUAAGGGUGAGCUCAAUGUCCUGGCUGACACCUUGAGCCGUAAAAGGCUGUCUCCUAAUGAGUGGUCUCUGAAUGUAGAUGUCUUUUCCCAGAUCUCCAACAGUUGGGGCACCCCAAUUCUGGAUCUCUUUGCAACGUUCAGGAACCACAAAGUCAGCAGCUUUUUUUCCCGCUUCCAGGAUUCCAGAGCAACAGGCACAGAUGUGCUCUCUCACCCUCGGCCCCUGGGGCUUCUUUUAUGCCUUCCCUCCAAUUCCUCUGAUCCCUCGGCUUCUUCACAGAAUCCGCAGGGAGAAGGCGGAAGUGGUAGUGGUGGCACCUUUUUGGCCUCGGCGGCCAUGGUUCCAUUCUUUACAGGAAAUGAGCUCUCUCCCGCCCUGGCGGCUUCCUCUGCGAGAGGAUUUGCUGGUUCAGGAGGGGACCUGUCACCCCAAUCCAUCCUUCUUCAAGCUGACUGCGUGGAAGCUCAGCGGUUGAAGUUAUCUAGAAUUGGGAUUCCUCAGUCCAUCAUCUCCACUCUCCUGUUGGACAAGCAGCCUUCAACCAUCUGGAUUUACAAUGCGACCUGGAGGUCUUUUUGUCGCUGGGCCAGAUCUGCCCAUGUGGACCCUUUGACGGCCAGUCCUCUGUCGGUCUUAUCCUUUCUUCAGAAGGGGAAGAAUAUGGGCCUCUGUCCCAUCACCAUUCGAAAGCAGG